GAGGGAAGUGGGACAAGGUAGGAGAGUGCGGGGGGGGGAGGGGCUGGGGUAACGGAAGCCCAGGAGUGGAUAGGCAUAUAGGUUGCUCCGCCCUCUUUCCUUUUCUUGCCCACUUGGCCGCUGGCGGUUUUCUUCUAGUUCUGCGGCUGGUGUUUCUUCUUCUCGCUUCCUCCCUUGUCCUUAGUAAGCUCCAAAGGGGCAGUGUCCCCAGCACAGUGCCUGAAGCACAGUAUGUUUCAUCAAUAUGCUCAGAAUGACAGAGCGCACUGCAGUCCUAUGCUCUUUAUGCUUAUGCGGGCCUUGUGGUGGGCUAAAUGAGCAUACAGAAAAGAAGUGGAAAUUCAGACAUUUACUCCUCAAAGUACAUCACGUUUGAAUCCAAGACAAACCUGUCUUACUGCAAAUUCCGACCAGAAUGGGCACUCUUCAAGUGAAAUUCUGUAUAUAUUACAAUGAAUUCUAUGAGAUGUAAAAAGCCUGGAUUAUUGACCAAAGGACACGUGUAACAGCAUUUCUUCAUAUUCUUCAAGGGAACCAUCUUGUACCACUUGUCAUGCAACACGUCCAUAAACCCAUGGGACUUGUACUGACUGAUGAGUUCGGAUAUAUUGGAGAGGGAGCUCUUUCAUGCGCCAUUUUGUGCUCAUCCCCUUUGAAAACAAUGUGGUGUGUGGAGAAGAUGGGAACUUUAAGAGCUAAGGCUCAGCAGCACAGACGGAAAUGUAAACAGGGAACCAGUGGGGAGUUAAUUGUGUGGCAUCUGGCACUGGGGUCUAGCAGAGGCAAACAAGCCAUCUCACCACUGUCUUUUGACAAGCUAGGGUUGCCCCCUGAAGACAAAGGUGGAGAAUGGAGUCCCUCAUUCUUAUGCCCGCUGCAAAUGAUUCAUUGUUAGUAGUUGCUAAAGGCAAGAGGGACCUCAAUUACCCAGUAUAUCUAGGACAGAAAAGAAAUGUAACAUCCUUUGCAUAUCCCCAGAUGCCACCAAAAAAAAGAAAGAAAAGGGAUUUUUCCAU